UACGUAGGGUGCGAGCGUUAAUCGGAAUUACUGGGCGUAAAGCGUGCGCAGGCGGUGAGCUGUGUCCGAUGUGAAAGCCCCGGGCUUAACCUGGGAAUGGCAUUGGAAACUGGCUCGCUGGAGUGUGGCAGAGGGGGGUGGAAUUCCGCGUGUAGCAGUGAAAUGCGUAGAGAUGCGGAGGAACACCGAUGGCGAAGGCAGGCCCCUGGGCUAACACUGACGCUCAGGCACGAAAGCGUGGGGAGCAAACAGG
rnacentral:rRNA from 1 species